GGCCAGGGAGUAGGUGCUGCCCAGACCCGAGCCUACCCUCCCUUCUCCUCCCCAGUGCGUAUCACGGCCACCUGAGCUCCCUGAUUGACAUCAGUCCCUACAAGUUCCGCAACCUGGAUGGCCAGAAGGAGUGGGUCCACGUGGUAUGCACUGCCCAACUCAACAACAGGUCGGUGCCUGUCCCCAAGCCCGGAUAACAUGGCGCUGUCACUCCCCACAGGCACCUCUCCCAGACACCUACCGGGGCCCCUACCGGGAGGACCACCCCAACCCAGCUAUGGCCUAUGCCAACGAGGUGAAACGUGUGGUCAGCAGUGCACAGGAGAAGGGCAGGAAGAUUGCGGCCUUCUUCGCUGAGUCUCUGCCCAGUGUGGGAGGGCAGAUCAUUCCCCCUGCUGGCUACUUCUCCCAAGUGGCAGAAUGAGAUCCAGGUUGGCUUUGGCCGGGUAGGCAAGCACUUCUGGGCCUUCCAGCUCCAGGGAAAAGACUUCGUCCCUGACAUCGUCACCAUGGGCAAGUCCAUUGGCAAUGGCCACCCUGUUGCCUGCGUGGCCGCAACCCAGCCUGUGGCGAGGGCAUUUGAAGCCACCGGCGUUGAGUACUUCAACACGGUGAGUGAUGGCUCUAAGUCAAGGGAGCAACAUGGGUUCUGAUAGGCCCCCGGUGAUCAGCCUGUCCUUAGUCAGCAAAGGGUACAGGGCUAACACUGUGCCCAGCACACGCUUCCAAGACGCUGUCCUUAAGGAGAUUAUAGCCAGGUCAGGUAAGAAAACAUAAAACAUCUUUUAAAAUUAGUGUCAAUCCAAAAGCUGUCACAAGGGACCAUGUCUUAUAAAAUAUAUACAAAAAUACGAGUCCCUGUCUUCCUUUCAGCAGAUGCCACCCAUUCUGUGCCAGGCCCUGUGUCAGGUGCUGGAACUUGAGCUGGUUAAGAGUUGUGAGGAGUGUGGUGUGCUUGGGUAACACAUGAUCUCGGAGCAGAGUUCGCA
rnacentral:lncRNA from 1 species